rnacentral:rRNA from 1 species
AGAGUUUGAUCCUGGCUCAGAACGAACGCUGGCGGCGUGGAUAAGACAUGCAAGUCGAACGGGAUUAUUGGUGUAGCAAUACAUCAAUGGUCCAGUGGCGUAAGGGUGCGUAACACGUGGGUAAUCUGCCGAGAAGUGGGGGAUAGCUCGCCGAAAGGCGAAUUAAUACCGCAUGUGACUAGCGAAGGAUUCUUCGUGACGUCAAAGCCGGGGACCGUAGCAAUACGGCCUGGCGCUUCUUGAUGAGCCCGCGGCCUAUCAGCUAGUUGGUGAGGUAACGGCUCACCAAGGCUAUGACGGGUAGCUGGUCUGAGAGGACGACCAGCCACACUGGAACUGAGACACGGUCCAGACACCUACGGGUGGCAGCAGUCGAGAAUUUUUCUCAAUGGGGGCAACCCUGAAGGAGCGACGCCGCGUGGAGGAUGAAGGUCUUCGGAUUGUAAACUCCUGUCAUUUGGGAACAAGGUGCAUGGGUUAACUGCCGAUGCAUUGAUAGUACCAGAAGAGGAAGAGACGGCUAACUCUGUGCCAGCAGCCGCGGUAAUACAGAGGUCUCAAGCGUUGUUCGGAUUCAUUGGGCGUAAAGGGUGCGUAGGUGGCGGGGCAAGUCUGGUGUGAAAUCUCGGGGCUCAACCCCGAAACUGCACUGGAUACUGCCUUGCUCGAGUACUGGAGAGGAGAUUGGAAUUUACGGUGUAGCAGUGAAAUGCGUAGAUAUCGUAAGGAAGACCAGUGGCGAAGGCGAAUCUCUGGACAGUUACUGACACUGAGGCACGAAGGCCAGGGGAGCAAACGGGAUUAGAUACCCCGGUAGUCC